rnacentral:rRNA from 1 species
GACGAACGCUGGCGGUGGGCUUAACACAUGCAAGUCGAACGGAAAGGCCCUGAGUUUGUGGUCUGCUGGAUGGGGGAACGGGUGAGGAACACGUGAGUAACCUGCCCUAGAUUUUGGUAGAACUUCAGGAAGGUGGGGUUAAUACCGGAUAGGAUCUGCUGCUGCGUUGAGGGGGUGGGAAAGUCGCGGCGUGUGCGGAUGGAUGCGCCGUUGACGGGUUAGGUAGUUGGGGGGGGGCAUGCCCACCAAGGCGACGGUCCGUGGCUUGUCUGAGAGGACGGGUAGCCACCCUGGAACUGAGACACGGCCCAGAGGCCUAGGGGAGGCAGCAGUGGGCAAUAGUGGACAGUGGGCGGAAGCCUGACCCAGCCAGACCGCGUGGGUGAAGAAGGCGCUCGGGUUGUAAAGCCCUCUUUUUGGGAAAGAAAAGCAGCCGGUUAAUACCCAGCUGUUCUGACGGUACCCAAAGAAGAAGCACCGGCUAACUUCGUG